rnacentral:rRNA from 1 species
CCUACGGGUGUCAGCAGUGGGGGAUAUUGCACAAUGGGGGGAACCCUGAUGCAGCGACGCCGCGUGGGUGAAGAAGCACCUCGGCGCGUAAAGCCCUGUCAGCAGGGAAGAAAAUGACGGUACCUGAAGAAGAAGCCCCGGCUAACUACGUGCCAGCAGCCGCGGUAAUACGUAGGGGGCAAGCGUUAUCCGGAUUUACGGGGUGUAAAGGGGGCGCAGGCGGCGAUGCAAGCCAGGAGGGAAAGCCCGGGGCCCAACCCCGGGACUGCUCUUGGAACUGCGUGGCUGGAGUGCAGGAGGGGCAGGCGGAAUUCCUGGUGUAGCGGUGAAAUGCGUAGAUAUGAGGAGGAACACCAGUGGCGAAGGCAGUCUGCUGGACAGCAACUGACGCUGAGGCGCGAAAGCGUGGGGAGCAAACAGGAUUAGAUACCCUAGUAGUC